rnacentral:pre_miRNA from 1 species
GAAAUACUCCCUCCGUUCCAAAAUAGAUGACUCAACUUUGUACUAACUUUGUACUAAAGUUAAUACAAAGUUGAGUCAUCUAUUUUGGAACGGAGGGAGUACCAG